ensembl:rRNA 5S_rRNA 5S ribosomal RNA
AGCUGCAGCCAUGUUUUCUGAGAGCAUGCCAUCACAGACCAUGAUCAUGGUAAGUCUCAAGUGGUAGGCUAAGUAGCAUUACCUGUUCAGUCCUUGGAUGGGAGACCUCUAAAGAAAAGCAGUGGUGCUGUGG